GAAUUCAGGGAGGAAAAUCGUUGACAUUGCCGCGUACAUCGCUGCCGGGAUUUUCAAUGAAGGCUAUGCAUCAAUUUUGAUGCUGAUGGAUUCGUUGCAGUUGACCAUUGGGCAGCAGUGCAAGAUGUUCGCAGAUCAGAUGGACAUCUCCCGAUUAGCGCGCGCAGAAUGUCGGCACAGCGAAAGCACGAAAGAGGCCCGAAGUGCUCGUAGGGAGGCAAAUCUCCUUGAAAAUGAGUUUUUUGAGGAAGAAGAAGGUUCGCUUUACGAACCUGGUGGAGCUGAUUGACGUGUUACUGCCACCAUCGUGUCCACUAUUGAAUAAGAAUUGCGGUCAGGAUCGCCCACGCAGAUUUCCAUGUCAGCGGCGAGGCGAGAUACAAGAUCAGCUAAAACUUCAAUUAUUUAUAAUUUUGCAAACAAUGAAAAUGUUUUUUUCUUAUCUUUAAACAUUGUCCUGAAUAUAUAUAAUACCAAUUUGA